UUUCAUCAGGCCUUGAACUUGAUGUGUGCGUGUUCGAUCCUUGGCCAUGUAUUUCUUCAAAUUUCAGUUGAAUUUUUCACAUUUACCUGGCGCACAUAGGUUCGAUCCCUGGCGUGCGCACUUUUCUGAUUUCCAAUUGCAUUUUUCCAUUUACCAUAAGUGCAUGUGUUCGAAUCUGCUUGAGUGCAUAUGCUGAUUUACUUCAAUUUUUGUUUUC
rnacentral:lncRNA from 1 species